AGUCAUUGUAGAGACCUUGUAGAUAGUGUUUGGAUGGUUCGAAAACAAUGGACAAAUAAAUCGAGUGUUAGUAACUAUUGAGGAACUUAGUGUUUUAUCGUUACCUACACAGGUGGGCUCUGUUUUACCGCUCUACCGUUCGUACAACUUUGAUCUAUCAGUGAUCAUCGAAAUCAAUCGAACUCAAGACUGAGAGAAAA